AUUUGGAACCUCCUACCUACAAACAUGUUAGAGCUAACGUGUGGGCUCCUUACUUCCUGUUUUCAACAUUUUGCUACCGUGGCUUACUGCGGUCAGCAAUACACUACAACUGUUGGGAGAUGUUGGAUGGGCUGACGCCAGUGAAACGAUCCACCUGUUGUGCAUGCUGUUGAUGAAGAAGAUGGGGGUCUGAGUCACACACAUGAGGAAGUCUGUUAACGCCAGGACCUGAGCCCUAGGACCAUGCCUCAGGACUACCUGGCAUGAUGACUCCUUGCUGUCCCCAGUCCACCUGGCCAUGCUGCUGCUCC